rnacentral:rRNA from 1 species
UACGAAGGGGGCUAGCGUUGCUCGGAAUUACUGGGCGUAAAGGGCGCGUAGGCGGACAGUUUAGUCAGAGGUGAAAGCCCAGGGCUCAACCCUGGAAUUGCCUUCUAAACUCCUGGUCUUGAGUUCGAGAGAGGUGAGUGGAAUUCCGAGUGUAGAGGUGAAAUUCGUAGAUAUUCGGAGGAACACCAGUGGCGAAGGCGGCUCACUGGCUCGAUACUGACGCUGAGGUGCGAAAGCGUGGGGAGCAAACAGG